rnacentral:rRNA from 1 species
UCGCGGCCUAUCAGCUUGUUGGUGAGGUAAUGGCUCACCAAGGCGUCGACGGGUAGCCGGCCUGAGAGGGUGACCGGCCACACUGGGACUGAGACACGGCCCAGACUCCUACGGGAGGCAGCAGUGGGGAAUAUUGCACAAUGGGCGCAAGCCUGAUGCAGCAACGCCGCGUGAGGGACGACGGCCUUCGGGUUGUAAACCUCUUUUAGCAGGGAAGAAGCGAAAGUGACGGUACCUGCAGAAAAAGCGCCGGCUAACUACGUGCCAGCAGCCGCGGUAAUACGUAGGGCGCAAGCGUUAUCCGGAAUUAUUGGGCGUAAAGAGCUCGUAGGCGGUUUGUCGCGUCUGCUGUGAAAUCCGGAGGCUCAACCUCCGGCCUGCAGUGGGUACGGGCAGACUAGAGUGCGGUAGGGGAGAUUGGAAUUCCUGGUGUAGCGGUGGAAUGCGCAGAUAUCAGGAGGAACACCGAUGGCGAAGGCAGAUCUCUGGGCCGUAACUGACGCUGAGGAGCGAAAGGGUGGGGAGCAAACAGGCUUAGAUACCCUGGUAGUCCACCCCGUAAACGUUGGGAACUAGUUGUGGGGUCCAUUCCACGGAUUCCGUGACGCAGCUAACGCAUUAAGUUCCCCGCCUGGGGAGUACGGCCGCAAGGCUAAAACUCAAAGGAAUUGACGGGGACCCGCACAAGCGGCGGAGCAUGCGGAUUAAUUCGAUGCAACGCGAAGAACCUUACCAAGGCUUGACAUAUACGAGAACGGGCCAGAAAUGGUCAACUCUUUGGACACUCGUAAACAGGUGGUGCAUGGUUGUCGUCAGCUCGUGUCGUGAGAUGUUGGGUUAAGUCCCGCAACGAGCGCAACCCUCGUUCUAUGUUGCCAGCACGUAAUGGUGGGAACUCAUGGGAUACUGCCGGGGCAACUCGGAGGAAGUGGGGGAUGACGUCAAAUCAUCAUGCCCCUUAUGUCUUGGGCUUCACGCAUGCUACAAUGGCCGGUACAAAGGGCUGCAAUACCGCGAGGUGGAGCGAAUCCCAAAAAGCCGGUCCCAGUUCGGAUUGAGGUCUGCAACUCGACCUCAUGAAGUCGGAGUCGCUAGUAAUCGCAGAUCAGCAACGCUGCGGUGAAUACGUUCCCGGGUCUUGUACACACCGCCCGUCAAGUCAUGAAAGUCGGUAACACCUGAAGCCGGUGGCCUAACCCUUGUGGAGGGAGCCGUCGAAGGUGGGGCUGGA